rnacentral:rRNA from 1 species
UACGUAGGGGGCAAGCGUUGUCCGGACUUAUUGGGCGUAAAGAGCGUGUAGGCGGCCAUACAGGUCAGCUGUGAAAACUCGAGGCUCAACCUCGAGACGUCGGUUGAAACCGUAUGGCUAGAGUCCGGAAGAGGAGAGUGGAAUUCCCGGUGUAGCGGUGAAAUGCGCAGAUAUCGGGAAGAACACCCGUGGCGAAGGCGGCUCUCUGGGACGGUACUGACGCUGAGACGCGAAAGCGUGGGGAGCGAACAGG